CCUACGGGCGGCUGCAGUGGGGAAUAUUGGACAAUGGGGGCAACCCUGAUCCAGCCAUGCCGCGUGUGUGAAGAAGGCCCUCGGGUUGUAAAGCACUUUCAGUGAGGAAGAACGCCUGGUGGUUAAUAUCCAUCAGGAAAGACAUCACUCACAGAAGAAGCACCGGCUAACUCCGUGCCAGCAGCCGCGGUAAUACGGAGGGUGCGAGCGUUAAUCGGAAUUACUGGGCGUAAAGCGCGCGUAGGUGGCUUGAUAAGCCGGUUGUGAAAGCCCCGGGCUCAACCUGGGAACGGCAUCCGGAACUGUCAAGCUAGAGUGCAGGAGAGGAAGGUAGAAUUCCCGGUGUAGCGGUGAAAUGCGUAGAGAUCGGGAGGAAUACCAGUGGCGAAGGCGGCCUUCUGGACUGACACUGACACUGAGGUGCGAAAGCGUGGGUAGCAAACAGGAUUAGAUACCCGAGUAGUC
rnacentral:rRNA from 1 species